GCCAGCUAUAAUCGUCAUCAGUCAUUUUAAGUCGUCAGGAUUUAGCAGAUUCAACAAUCUACCCAAAAGUAGAAUUCUGAUCAAUCACCAAAGAGAUGGAAUUAAUAAAAUCUGUCGUCUGCCUGAUGCUCGUCUUCACGCUGUGUCAAUCCAUGGUGCUCCACUCGGAUCUUCCUCAGAUGGGGGGGGCCCAGUAAACCCAAAUCCAAGACAUGGGAAAUCCAACUACCAAAACCUCUGCCUGGUAGGACUCUGGUAUGCAAAUGGGUGAACAGAAAGUGGAUAUGCACCAACUAAAUACAGGGACGAAAUUACCAGCUUGCUGACAAGUCUGCAUGGACCACCUAUUUAAACAGAC